UACGUAGGUGGCAAGCGUUAUCCGGAUUUAUUGGGUUUAAAGGGAGCGUAGGCGGCUUUAUAAGUCAGUGGUGAAAGGUAGCAGCUUAACUGUUUUACAUGCCAUUGAUACUGUGGAGCUUGAGUUAUUAGGAGGCAGAUAGAAUUUCUGGUGUAGCGGUGAAAUGCUUAGAUACCAGAAGGAAUACCGAUUGCGAAGGCAGUCUGCUACAUAUAUACUGACGCUGAGGCUCGAAAGUGCGGGUAUCAAACAGG
rnacentral:rRNA from 1 species